rnacentral:rRNA from 1 species
GGCGCACGAGUGAGUAACGCGUGGGAAACUGCCCUUCACUGGGGAAUAACGUUUGGAAACGAACGCUAAUACCGCAUACGCCCGCAAGGGGAAAGAUUUAUCGGUGAUGGAUGUGCCCGCGUUGGAUUAGCUAGUUGGUGGGGUAACGGCCUACCAAGGCGAUGAUCCAUAGCUGGUCUGAGAGGACGAUCAGCCACGCUGGAUCUGAGACACGGUCCAGACUCCUACGGGAGGCAGCAGCUAAGAAUAUUGGGCAAUGGAGGAAACUCUGACCCAGCCAUGCCGCGUGGAUGAAGAAGGCCUUCGGGUUGUAAAGUUCUUUUAGUCAUGAAGAUGAUGACAGUAGUGACAGAAAAAGCACCGGCUAACUUCGUGCCAGCAGCCGCGGUAAUACGAAGGGUGCAAGCGUUGUUCGGAUUUACUGGGCGUAAAGCGUCCGUAGGUGGUUUGCUAAGUCAGAGGUGAAAUCCCAGGGCCCAACCCUGGAACUGCCUUUGAUACUGGCAAGCUGGAGCGCGAUAGAGGAAGAUGGAAUAUCUGG